GAAAAUUCAUAACAAAAUAAUCCUUGGAAGUACUUCAGGGUGAGCUUCUCCUUCAGAACGCAGAUCUUCUGUUGUUCUUGAAUCAACCCAUGAAGGCGGUAGCGUCUCCUUCAAUCCUUGGAGAGUUGGAGCGCUACAACGUUUCUGCUAAUUUCUCGCUUCAAGCCUCAAUUUUCACAAUUGCAACCCAAUUGAAACCCUAAACCCUUUCACUCCCUUUGCUCACCCACCCGCCAAAACCCGCCGAACCCGCGCAGUCCCACCCGACGUCUUGAAUUUCUAACUUGAACUUCCAAAGCAUGAUCUUGCCUAGCUCUCUUUUCUCUAUAGCAUUAGGAGGUUUCUUGACCUUUUGUGAAUUCAUCUUUCUCCGUCUCCUGCAUUUCAAGCAUUACCAUCUGUAAAAAACAAUUCUGAAGGCAUUGUGGGAGCUAAGCUUUCUGAAUUAAAGUCCAGAUUUCCGUGUGGGGCUUGAAUUUAGCGAGUAGUUGAAGAAGGAUUGCUGGGAAUGAAGUGGGUCUGGGCAAAAUACGCGGACGGCUAUUGCUUUAUUUCUUAUAUUGUAUUUUCAUUGUUUUGUUCCUUUUCUGGUUGGUGAACGUUACAUGGCCUCAAAAUUGCUUCAGAUUUUCCCUUAUGAAGCAGAAAACCCCUUGGAACUGUCCCUUAGAGAGGCCUUUGAGCUUCUUGAACCCCAGCUGAGACCCCCAUUUCCAUUAACAAUCCCAUCACAAUCAGAAUACGCUCAGCUCAAUCAGGCAAUCCUCCAUGGGAUUUUAUCCGAGCCCCAUUUGGCUAAAAUUCACGUCAAGCACUUGCAUGCCAUUGUCACGGAUGGGUAUAGUUUUUUUGUCAAUUUACUCACCAAGAUUGCUAUGGAGUUGUACCCAAAACUUGUUGAUUCGGUGAAGGUUCAAUUGAUUUGGGUUACUUCGGAAAUGGUCGAUGUUUCGGCAUGUGGGAUAGAUGGUUUGUUAGUGUCCCUCUUGAGGCUAGUAGCUCUAGGCGAUUUCAGGGACGGGAAUUUGUGGUUGUGUUUCAACUUGGUUAGUCUUUUUACUGCGAAAUGGGAUUGUCUGCUAGAAGAAGAACCGUCAGUUUUAGCGAGUGCCUUGUAUACGUUUCUCCGUUUAUUGGCGGAUCAUUAUCAUUUGUCGAGUAAUGCAAAACUGGAGAUGUUAAAGAGGAUGGAGAUUGAGUUUUGUAUUAGAGUUCUGAGGGAGCAAUUCCAUCUGUGUUUGAGGAUUGGGAGGGAUCUUGUUCGGCUUCUACAAGAUGUGGUUCAUGUUCCUGAGUUUCGUGUCCUAUGGAAGGAUUUGGUGUUGAACCCUGGUGUAUUUAGGUCGCCUGGUUUUUCAGAUAUAUCGCAGCUCUACUGCUCCAGGACUUCAAGUCAUUACUUUUUACUUCGGAUCACUCCUGAAAUGGAAACCCAAUUGCGAUUUUUGCUAUCACAUGUGAAAUUGGGGAGUCAAAAGCGGCACCAGGCAUGGUUUGCCAGGAAGUUUCUUUAUGGGCCAGAAAAGGAGACUCUUAUAUGCGACAUUGUUCGAUUCAUAUGCUGUGCCCACCACCCAUCUAAUGAAAUUAUCCAGUCUGACGUGAUACCGAGAUGGGCUGUUAUAGGUUGGCUACUGAAAUGUUGUAGGAAGAAUUAUGUCGAAGCUAAUGUGAAGUUGGCCUUAUUUUACGAUUGGCUUUUCUUCGAUGAUAGACUGGACAAUAUUAUGAAUAUUGAGCCUGCAAUGCUACUGAUGGUAAACUCGAUACCAAAAUACAUUGACAUGACUCACACUCUUCUUGAGUUUCUGUUUCUUCUUGUGGACAAUUAUGAUGUUGAGAGAAAAAAUGUCAUCUGUCAAGGAGUCUCAUCUGCUUUUAGUGCUCUUGUUAAGAAAGGAGUGGUUUCUUCUCUGGAUGUUUUAGCUUCUUCUGAUGUACUUUCCCCUUUUCUUAAAGACAGGCUUGGGAGAUUUCUAUUUGGUUUGCGAUUGGGAGUUCCAAAUGAAACAGUGGCACCCCAGCUUCCUCAUCAUUCAAUGCAAACCUUGAGUUUUCCAUGUGCAUCCACAGCAGAAACACAGAUACUUUUAGAGGGAAAGCUGACAGUAACUACAUGUGCUCAAAAUGACAAAGUUGGCUGCAAAAUUGUUGAUGCUUCAGUUUCCAAUAAUCCUGAUGUUUCUUGUGGGCCAGUGGUUGUGGCUGAUGAAAGUCAUAUUGAUUCCAUAGAGAAUUUGAUUCAAAAUCUUGGAGAAACUUACAAAAGGUCAAAUUCCGCAGGCCUUAAGAUUUUGGAAAAGAUAAUGUUUUCAUUUGCAAAUAGGGAUCCUUCCAGGCAAGCAACUGAUUUCAUUUGCAACCCUGAAAAUUUCUCUUGUAAAAUAGCCAAGGAAUUUGAGUUGAAUGGAUACAAACUAUUCACCCCUCUUGAAAUUCUUCCUGAUAACCCCCUCUUUGAUGAUGAAAUACACUCUCCCACGGCCUUAAUUAUUAGUAAUUUUAUUUUUUCUCAGCAAGAGUGGAUACAAGACAUGUUAUUGUUCUGGUCAAAAACUGGUUCACCUGUUGGAGCACGUCUGUUAUCUUAUGCAUCAAGACUUGCUUACGAAGCAAAUGUAUCUGGUUAUUUGGGAAGCAUGGCAACUGAAAACAGUUAUGUUAAGGUAUUUUAUACAAGGAUGCCAUUCCUAAAGUUUCAUAUUGAUGCAUAUAAUUCUUAUAUGAGUGGUGGGAGAAAAGAUUUUGCUGAAACCAUUGUUUCUGGUUCUAAGGUGAAUGAGGAGUUUGUUAGUAAUCUGGUAGAUGGUGCUUUUGCUGCUUACCGUUGUUUUCUUAUAUAUUCCAUGAAUCUAUUACACAAAAAAGCAGAUACAUCUCUGCGUAAGUUCCUUAUUUCUGACAUAAUGCUUUGUUCUCAAUGGAAACGGAACAGAUUGAAGUUUGUAUUUUGCAGCAUCUUUAGUCAUCUUUCAGACUUAUCCGUAGGUGCGGAAAAUGUCAUUCAAUUACUUGUGAGUCAAUUGGAUCAUGCAGAAAUUUUGGGUAUUCAGUUUGAAAUUAGUUUGAAAAAAUUCUCUAUAUUUGGUGAAAACAGUGAGAAUAUAUGCAACUUAAUCAAGACCUCUGUCAAGUGGGAUUAUGUUCAACAGAAUAAGCUAUGGGGGCUAAUUAGAUCUGAGCUUGUGGUUUCCAAGGUUAAAGUGGAGAAGGUAAUUUUAGAAAUUUUCUACUCUGGUGUUUUAGAUCCAGAUGUAAAUUCCAUUGCAGUUGGAGGCUGUCUGACACUCUGCACUUCUUGUGCUCCCUCGCCUGAACUUGUUGGUGCAAUCAUGUUUCUACCCAGUAAUCUGUUCCCAGACUUUGCUGCUGCAGUUCUGGCCAAUUGGGUUGUGUCUAAUGCCUCCAUGUUGUUUAAAAGCUUGACUGACUUCUUAGAGAAACUCCAAAACGAGAAUGGGGGUUCUCCUAUGAGCUUGGGUGGGUUUAUGAUCAACGAGUCUGCUCUUCUUUGGUUGUUGAAUUACCUCGAUGGACAUGGGAUGAAAGGCAUUGAUAUUCUGAGCAAGUUGUCUAAAGAUAUUUCAGUUAUAAAAGAAAAAUUGGGAGAUUCUGCAGUUGUGAUGGAGACCGGAUAAACUCUUCUAUGCCAUUAGUGCAUUUGCAACUCAAUUGGGUUGUGGAGCUAGAUCAAGGACCAUCCUAUUAUCUGUGCGUCAUGAACGGAUUUAUGUGCUGUGUGCUUUUGGGAGUUCUUACAUUAAGCAGCAAAUAUGCUCAAACAUCUGUUGACAUACUUUGCGAUUACUGUUGACACCAAGAUAGGGAUCAGAACCUGCUGGUGUCUAUCCUGUUAUUUGAUUUGGGAGCAGUUUAGCACUUCACAUCUGCAGCAGUUGCCGCCAAUUAUGAUGCGGGAAUCUUUUCCUUUCACUCUCUCAUAGUUGGCCUUCAUGAGUACUGUUACAUAUUGGGUGGUUGCAUUGUGGCAUCCGUCCCUGACAAUUGAAGGAUAUUGUUACCAUUUGAAAACAAUUCUUUGCUCAAGAAGCUUGGCUUUUGCAUCAAAUGAAGGAAUUAAAAGUGUCAAUGAUGAAGAAGUUGAUGCUAAAACUUUUGAAGAAGACUUGUUCAGAAGGAAAAUACCAGAAAUACCAACUGAACAAAUUUACAGAGAUGGAAGGUUUCAAGUUGAUGCCUAGUUUCUCUGUUGAAACUUUUGAACAAACAAUAGGUUUGCAAAAACAGGAUGUAAUCCCACUAUUUUAUGAAGAGUUCUUUGCAAGCAUAAGAAGACACAAAUUUCUUCA